rnacentral:rRNA from 1 species
UUAGGCCGGGAACUCAAAGGAGACUGCCAGUGAUAAACUGGAGGAAGGUGGGGAUGACGUCAAGUCAUCAUGGCCCUUACGACCAGGGCUACACACGUGCUACAAUGGCGCAUACAAAGAGAAGCGACCUCGCGAGAGCAAGCGGACCUCAUAAAGUGCGUCGUAGUCCGGAUCGGAGUCUGCAACUCGACUCCAUGAAGUCGGAAUCGCUAGUAAUCGUGGAUCAGAAUGCCACGGUGAAUACGUUCCCGGGCCUUGUACACACCGCCCGUCACACCAUGGGAGUGGGUUGCAAAAGAAGUAGGUAGCUUAACCUUCGGGAGGGCGCUUACCACUUUGUGAUUCAUGACUGGGGUGAAGUCGUAACAAGGUAACCGUAGGGGAACCUGCGGUUGGAUCACCUCCUUACCUUAAAGAAGC